ACAUGGGGUACACACCCUCCUCCUUCUACUACUUACUUAACACUAUAAAAGGGGGCAUACAUAUCAGUAAGUACCCUUUUAAUUUUCUAAUAAUCUCCUAAUUAGCCCAUCAGAUCGAUCAGUAGUAAUCAAAGUUCAACAACCCAUCAACAUGAUGAUCAAAUUCAAACCCUCUCUCCUCAUGCCUGCAGCAAUAAUGUUGUUCCUUAUUCUUCUUGCUACCCAGUUCGGCUCUUUACAAUCCAGGCACCUUCCUUCUCCAACUGCUAGCUCUCACUCGCAGCAAGUUGUUCCGGCAUCAAAGGCGGGAGAUUCGAAAUCCACGGCGACAUUAAAGGCGAGGAGGAACGGGAAGCAGCAGGAGAAAGGAGUAGUAGGAGUAGGGGUACUAGAGGUUGGAGCCAGCAAGAGAAGAAUACCACCAAGCAGAGCCAAUCCAAAGGGGAACAAGUAGUCAUAUAUAUCCUCUUGUCGUAUUGAUUAAAUUAGCUAUAGCUAGCUAGCUACCAUUAAUUAGUUUUAUUUUCUAGGUUUGAAGAAGCCUCAUUUUGUUGAGGUAUGAUGUAUUACUUUAAUUAAUUAUAGUGUUUAUUCUAGCAAUUCUUGAUCUAUUUAAUUCUAUAUUUUUCGAUGGAUCUUAAUUCUUUUUCUGUUCAAAC
rnacentral:lncRNA from 1 species